CCGUUACUAAAUUCAAAUAGGAGGGACUGAAAUUAUAGUCAACCUCAUAUAUUCUUGUCAGUGUCGAGUUAUAGUUGAGUGACUUGAAUUGAUUAGUUAGAAAAUAUUGGUUACCAUGACGUUAUUGUCUUGUCAUGACUUUGUUCUUUUUGGUUUGUUUGAAGUUGACUGUUCAUUUGUUUAGAUUAGUGACCACUUAAGAUGACUGCAAUAAUCUUCAUGUUUACGUGAAGUUGAUGACGAUCAUUAUCUACAUAUUGCUAAUGACUUUGGUUUUCUUCUCGGCAAACUCAUGAUUAUACCAUCAUGAGUUUGAGGGAGUUGUAGGAAAUAUUGAAAAAAGGAAUUUUUUUUAUUUACUUAGAGAUUUUAUUUUAUGUUAUUAUUUUAAGGUCUAGGUUUCCUUGACCUGGUGGACUAAGGUUGUUUAACACAGAGUCUUUUUAGACCUAUUAAAAAAUAUAUAGUUGUUUUUUGGCUUAACAGAUGGCCUGGAGAGAGAGCCCGACAAAGGAUGAGAAGAUCAAGACAUUGGACUUGCAAACUUGCCCAAAGAAUCCAAAUGACAGAACACCACCACGAGAACGAAAGACAAUUGCCAUCAACGAUCGUUCGUAACUUGAAUUGUUUACCGAUAAGAAGAGACGAGCAUAGAACUUAAAAUACUUUCUGACAGCUCAAGUCAGUUGACAGACCCGACAAGGAUAGGUAUGUCUAGAUGUCAAUUCUAAGUCAUGCAUUGGCCAUUGAAGGAAAAUGAAGUCUAUGAAGAGACAUAAAUGCUGUUAAACCUAUCGCUAAGGCAAAAUGCUUUUAAACCAUCCUUUAACGAACGAUGCACUCAAGAUGCAAUGACCAAAAAAAUCAUGCAAGUAGCUCUAUGUAAAUGGCACUGUCUCUCCACUUGUCAUGUGGAUAAUUGAGGAAUAGCAUAUAGGUCAUAUCUACGUGUUCGAUUAAAUGAUAGGGCAGUGAAAGAAUUAAGAGCUCAAGACUUUUGGGGCUCACUUAGGACCUAUGUAAAGGAGUUGAAUACCCCUUAUAAGCGGUGGGAUCCACAAGAGCAAAAUCACAUUACAUUGUCUUGAGAGCUAUUGUCAUCCACAUCAUAUAUAUAUAUAUAUAUAUAU
rnacentral:lncRNA from 1 species